rnacentral:rRNA from 1 species
GAUGAACGCUAGCUACAGGCUUAACACAUGCAAGUCGCGGGGCGGCAUGGGGGUUGCUUGCAAUCCCUGAUGGCGACCGGCGCACGGGUGAGUAACGCGUAUCCAACCUGCCCUUCACCACGGGAUAACCCGGCGAAAGUCGGACUAAUACCGUAUGUUGUCCAUUGACGGCAUCCGAUUUGGACGAAAGGCUUAGCGGUGAGGGAUGGGGAUGCGUCCGAUUCGCUUGACGGCGGGGUAACGGCCCACCGUGGCUACGGUCGGUAGGGGUUCUGAGAGGAAGGUCCCCCACACUGGAACUGAGACACGGUCCAGACUCCUACGGGAGGCAGCAGUGAGGAAUAUUGGUCAAUGGGCGUAAGCCUGAACCAGCCAAGUAGCGUGCAGGAUGACGGCCCUAUGGGUUGUAAACUGCUUUUAUGCGGGGAUAAAGGGACCCACGUGUGGGUUUUUGCAGGUACCGCAUGAAUAAGGACCGGCUAAUUCCGUG